rnacentral:rRNA from 1 species
GGGCCCGCACAAGCGGUGGAGCAUGUGGUUUAAUUCGAUGCAACGCGAAAAACCUUACCUAUACUUGACAUACUUGGAAUGCUUUGUAAUGAAGCAGUGCCUUCGGGAGCCAGGAUACAGGUGCUGCAUGGCUGUCGUCAGCUCGUGUCGUGAGAUGUUCCGUUAAGUCGGAUAACGAGCGCAACCCUUACCCUUAUUUGCCAGCGAUUCGGUCGGGAACUAUAAGGGGACUGCCGGUGAUAAACCGGAGGAAGGUGAGGAUGACGUCAAGUCCUCAUGGCCCUUAUGGGCUGGGCUACACACGUGCUACAAUGGCAGUGACAACGGGAAGCAAGACCGCGAGGUGGAGCUAAUCCCCAAAAGCUGUCUCAGUUCGGAUUGUACUCUGCAACUCGAGUGCAUGAAGUUGGAAUC